ensembl:lncRNA
CGGCUAACCUGUUGACGCGUACGGCGCGGCUAACCUGUUGACGCGUACGGCGCGGCUAACCUGUUGACGCGUACGGCGCGGCUAACCUGUUGACGCGUACGGCGCGGCUAACCUGUUGACGCGUACGGCGCGGCUAACCUGUUUGCAAAGCAGAGAUUUUCAUGUUCCUGAGCAUGACGACAAUUGUGUUUUUGUUUAAAUUGAGAAGUGUUUAACUUAAAAGAAACCAGCAGCUUUUUCUUUUAUUUACAUUUGUCCAGAUGUAACCCCCAUAGAAGCUGUUCUGUUUCCCUAAUAUUGUAAAAUAAAAGAUCAGAUUUGUCUACUUGUGAGGCUGGUUUUGAUUAUUCAGAGUGGAUGGAUUGGAGUGUUGUCAUGGACAAUUCUUUAAGUGAGAGACUUGUUAUUUCUUCAAACAAUUAAUCUAUUGAUUUUUAAGAAUUGCGCAAUAAUGAAGCUGAUCAACGACCAUCCAUUGUUGAUCGUUUGAUAACCUUACAGAAGGAAACCGUGGUCUUUCUUAUAUAUAUAUAUAUAGCUGACACUAAAAAUGCUUAGUCAUGGCUGAUUCCACCCCACCCCUGCAGCUCGGGGCAUCACAAGCCAUCUUGGGUUCAUCUUGUGAGUUUUGUGGUGUUUCUCAGACGACAAGAUGAUUUCGAAACAACGAGGGGUUUGUUUUACUCCUCCAGCCCAUCUCUAGCUCGGGUCCCCAAACACCAACUCAUUCUAUGGAAUGCAGGUUGUAGGUUUAAUCACCAAGCCAUCACAAAUCAAUUUCUUAGUGUCAAGCCCCAGAGGCCCAACUCACUCACACAGAUGAGAGUACUGAGAAACCUUGUUCGAUGCAUAAACAGUGUUGUAACAUCUUGUAAUUUUUUUUCUACCAUCGUGUUCAGUUAAAUACAUUGCAUCUCUGGCUAAUCUUUAUCACCUCUUGUUCUGUCUGCAUGUUUUAUAUCAAGAAUGAGAUGGGUGAGUUGAACAAGAGAAACACAAAAUAAACACUCUGUUUUUAAAUACAAAAUCAUUUUAAUAGUCUGUAAAAAUGUUGUACAAAAGCGUUGUCCUUUUACAUUUUGUAAAUGAACGAAUCGCUUCUCAUGUCGUUCAUCUCCCAGGAGUCUUCAGUUGGAUGUUGUCAGUAUUUAAUGACGUUUAUACAAUCCACUGUUGUGGUGUUAAGGCCUCUUGAUAUUGCCAUUAAAAACAUUCUGUUAGUCAAAUGGUUUGUCUUUGUUGUUUUUUGAAUCGGUGUAUAACAUGGGCUGUCUCAAAUUACAACCCUUUUCCCCCUGUACAGUGCUCUACGUUUGACCAGGGCCUUAUGAGCUGUCCAAUCACACCUUCUAGUUUCGCAGUUCAGUCAAAACAACAAAAUAUUAUUACAAAAAAAAAGUCUCAACAAGCAGAAAUUCCC